rnacentral:rRNA from 1 species
AGUGAACGCUGGCGGUAUGCCUAACACAUGCAAGUCGAACGGCAGCACAGUAAGAGCUUGCUCUUACGGGUGGCGAGUGGCGGACGGGUGACGAAUACAUCGGCAUCUACUUUUUCGUGGGUGAUAACGUAGGGAAACUUACGCUACUACCUCAUACAUCCUACGGCUGAAAUCAGUGGAUCUUCGGACCUUGCCCGUUUGAAUUAGCCGAUGUCGGAUUAGCUAGUUGGUUGGGUAAGGUCUCACCAAGGCGACGAUCCGUAGCUGAUCUGAGAGGAGGAGCGGCCACACUGGAACUGAGACAAGGUCCAGACUAAUACGGGAGGAAGAAGUAGGGAAGGUUGAGAAAUGGGCGAAAGCCUGACGGAGCAACGACGCGGGAGUGAUGAAGGGAUUCGGAUAGUAAAACGCUGUUAUUAGGGAAGAAAAAAUGGGGAAGUAAAUAUGCACGGCUUGACGGUACAUAAUCAGAAAGACACGGCUAACUACGUG